UACGAAGGGGGCUAGCGUUGCUCGGAAUUACUGGGCGUAAAGGGCGCGUAGGCGGAUAGUUUAGUCAGAGGUGAAAGCCCAGGGCUCAACCUUGGAAUUGCCUUUGAUACUGGCUAUCUUGAGUUCGGGAGAGGUGAGUGGAAUGCCGAGUGUAGAGGUGAAAUUCGUAGAUAUUCGGCGGAACACCAGUGGCGAAGGCGGCUCACUGGACCGGUACUGACGCUGAUGCGCGAAAGCGUGGGGAGCAAACGGG
rnacentral:rRNA from 1 species